rnacentral:rRNA from 1 species
GAAUGCUGACAUAAGUAACGAUAAAGCGGGUGAAAAGCCCGCUCGCCGGAAGACCAAGGGUUCCUGUCCAACGUUAAUCGGGGCAGGGUGAGUCGACCCCUAAGGCGAGGCCGAAAGGCGUAGUCGAUGGGAAACAGGUUAAUAUUCCUGUACUUGGUGUUACUGCGAAGGGGGGACGGAGAAGGCUAUGUUAGCCGGGCGACGGUUGUCCCGGUUUAAGCAUGUAGGCUGGUUGUCCAGGCAAAUCCGGAUAAUCAAGGCUGAGGUGUGAUGACGAGGCACUACGGUGCUGAAGUAACAAAUGCCCUGCUUCCAGGAAAAGCCUCUAAGCAUCAGGUAACAUCAAAUCGUACCCCAAACCGACACAGGUGGUCAGGUAGAGAAUACCAAGGCGCUUGAGAGAACUCGGGUGAAGGAACUAGGCAAAAUGGUGCCGUAACUUCGGGAGAAGGCACGCUGGUGUGUAGGUGAAGUCCCUGCGGAUGGAGCUGAGACCAGUCGAAGAUACCAGCUGGCUGCAACUGUUUAUUAAAAACACAGCACUGUGCAAACACGAAAGUGGACGUAUACGGUGUGACGCCUGCCCGGUGCCGGAAGGUUAAUUGAUGGGGUUAUCCGUAAGGAGAAGCUCUUGAUCGAAGCCCCGGUAAACGGCGGCCGUAACUAUAACGGUCCUAAGGUAGCGAAAUUCCUUGUCGGGUAAGUUCCGACCUGCACGAAUGGCGUAAUGAUGGCCAGGCUGUCUCCACCCGAGACUCAGUGAAAUUGAACUCGCUGUGAAGAUGCAGUGUACCCGCGGCAAGACGGAAAGACCCCGUGAACCUUUACUAUAGCUUGACACUGAACAUUGAGCCUUGAUGUGUAGGAUAGGUGGGAGGCUUUGAAGCGUGGACGCCAGUCUGCGUGGAGCCAACCUUGAAAUACCACCCUUUAAUGUUUGAUGUUCUAACGUUGGCCCCUUACCGGGGUUGCGGACAGUGUCUGGUGGGUAGUUUGACUGGGGCGGUCUCCUCCCAAAGCGUAACGGAGGAGCACGAAGGUUAGCUAAUCCUGGUCGGACAUCAGGAGGUUAGUGCAAUGGCAUAAGCUAGCUUGACUGCGAGCGUGACGGCGCGAGCAGGUGCGAAAGCAGGUCAUAGUGAUCCGGUGGUUCUGAAUGGAAGGGCCAUCGCUCAACGGAUAAAAGGUACUCCGGGGAUAACAGGCUGAUACCGCCCAAGAGUUCAUAUCGACGGCGGUGUUUGGCACCUCGAUGUCGGCUCAUCACAUCCUGGGGCUGAAGUAGGUCCCAAGGGUAUGGCUGUUCGCCAUUUAAAGUGGUACGCGAGCUGGGUUUAGAACGUCGUGAGACAGUUCGGUCCCUAUCUGCCGUGGGCGCUGGAGAAUUGAGGGGGGCUGCUCCUAGUACGAGAGGACCGGAGUGGACGCAUCACUGGUGUUCGGGUUGUCAUGCCAAUGGCACUGCCCGGUAGCUAAAUGCGGAAGAGAUAAGUGCUGAAAGCAUCUAAGCACGAAACUUGCCCCGAGAUGAGUUCUCCCUGAGACUUUAAGUCUCCUGAAGGAACGUUGAAGACGACGACGUUGAUAGGCCGGGUGUGUAAGCGCAGCGAUGCGUUGAGCUAACCGGUACUAAUGAACCGUGAGGCUUAACCUU